rnacentral:rRNA from 1 species
AUUCCAAUCGAACUCGGAGAUAGCUGGUUCUCCCCGAAAUAGCUUUAGGGCUAGCCUCAUAUUAGAUACCCGGAGGUAAAGCACUGAAUGGCCUAGCGCCCGAGAGGGUAGCGAAGCCUAUCAAACUAAGAAUGCCGGAGUAUUGAUGUAUGGGAGUCAGACAGUGUGAGAUAAAUCUCAUUGUCAAAAGGGAAACAGCCCAGAUCUACAGCUAAGGUCCCAAAUUGUAUCUAAGUGGAAAACGAUGUGGAAAUACGCAGACAACCAGGAUGUUGGCUCAGAAGCAGCCACUCAUUUAAAGAGUGCGUAAUAGCUCACUGGUCGAGCGUCUCUGCGCGGAAAAUUUAACGGGGCUAAGAUACAAACCGAAGCUUAGGCUGCACGUAAGUGCGGGGUAGGGGAGCGUUGUGUAAGCGGAGAAACAGUAGCGUAAGCGGCUGUGGAGUUUACAGAAGUGAGAAUGCCGGAAUGAGUAGCGCGAAUGUGGUGAGAAUCCACAUGGCCGGAAACCUCAGGUUUUUGGAGGAAGGUUCGUCCGCUCCAAGUUAGGCGGGAGCUAAGGUCAGGCCGAAAGGCGUAGCCGAUGCACAGACGGUAGAGAUUCCGUCCCCACCGAAAGAUUUAAGCACAGGGACACUUUUUGAAGGUCGGAGCCAGGUGUUGGUUCUGGUAGUGAUCGAGGGAAAUAUAGUACCGAAGUCCGGCUGGAGGAGAGGCGAGAAAAGCUGUGUGUAUAUCUAAGGUGCCCGUACCGCAAACCGACACAGGUAGGUAGGAAGAAGAUUCUAAGGCCAACGGGAGAAGGGUUGUUAAGGAACUCGGCAAGUUGACCCCGUAACUUCGGAAUAAGGGGUGCUCACGAGAGUGAGCCGCAGAGAAUAGGCCCAGGCAACUGUUUACCAAAAACACAGGUUUGUGCUAAAUCGAAAGAUGACGUAUACGAGCUGACGCCUGCCCGGUGCUGGAAGGUUAAAAGGAGAUGUGCAAGCAUUGAAUUGAAGCCCCAGUGAACGGCGGCCGUAACUAUAACGGUCCUAAGGUAGCGAAAUUCCUUGUCAGGUAAGUUCUGACCCGCAUGAAAGGCGUAAUGAUUUGGGCACUGUCUCAACAGCCCGCCCGGCGAAAUUGUAGUACCGGUGAAGAUGCCGGUUACCCGCGACAAGACGGAAAGACCCCAUGGAGCUUUACUGUAGCCUGAUAUUGGGUUUCGGUGUUGCAUGCACAGGAUAGAUGGGACGCUGGGAAAGAAGCGCUUUGGCGUUUCUGGAGCGGACGUUGGGAUACCAUCCUUGCGACAUUGGAAUUCUAACCUGCGCCUCUGAAUCGAGGCGGGGGACAUUGUCAGGUGGGCAGUUUGACUGGGGCGGUCGCCUCCUAAAAAGUAGCGGAGGCGUUCAAAGGUUCGUUCGAUCUGGACGGAAACCAGAUGAUUGAGUGCAAACGCAUAAACGAGCCUGACUGCGAGACUGACGGGUCGAGCAGAGACGAAAGUCGGAGUUAGUGAUCCGGUGGUAUGUGAGUGGAAAUGCCAUCGCUCAACGGAUAAAAGUUACCCUGGGGAUAACAGGCUGAUCUCCCCCAAGAGUCCACAUCGACGGGGAGGUU